rnacentral:rRNA from 1 species
AGAGUUUGAUCCUGGCUCAGGAUGAACGCUAGCUACAGGCUUAACACAUGCAAGUCGAGGGGCAGCAUGGUCUUAGCUUGCUAAGGCCGAUGGCGACCGGCGCACGGGUGAGUAACACGUAUCCAACCUGCCGUCUACUCUUGGACAGCCUUCUGAAAGGAAGAUUAAUACAAGAUGGCAUCAUGAGUCCGCAUGUUCACAUGAUUAAAGGUAUUCCGGUAGACGAUGGGGAUGCGUUCCAUUAGAUAGUAGGCGGGGUAACGGCCCACCUAGUCUUCGAUGGAUAGGGGUUCUGAGAGGAAGGUCCCCCACAUUGGAACUGAGACACGGUCCAAACUCCUACGGGAGGCAGCAGUGAGGAAUAUUGGUCAAUGGGCGAGAGCCUGAACCAGCCAAGUAGCGUGAAGGAUGACUGCCCUAUGGGUUGUAAACUUCUUUUAUAAAGGAAUAAAGUCGGGUAUGCAUACCCGUUUGCAUGUACUUUAUGAAUAAGGAUCGGCUAACUCCGUGCCAGCAGCCGCGGUAAUACGGAGGAUCCGAGCGUUAUCCGGAUUUAUUGGGUUUAAAGGGAGCGUAGAUGGAUGUUUAAGUCAGUUGUGAAAGUUUGCGGCUCAACCGUAAAAUUGCAGUUGAUACUGGAUAUCUUGAGUGCAGUUGAGGCAGGCGGAAUUCGUGGUGUAGCGGUGAAAUGCUUAGAUAUCACGAAGAACUCCGAUUGCGAAGGCAGCCUGCUGGACUGUAACUGACGCUGAUGCUCGAAAGUGUGGGUAUCAAACAGGAUUAGAUACCCUGGUAGUCCACACAGUAAACGAUGAAUACUCGCUGUUUGCGAUAUACAGCAAGCGGCCAAGCGAAAGCGUUAAGUAUUCCACCUGGGGAGUACGCCGGCAACGGUGAAACUCAAAGGAAUUGACGGGGGCCCGCACAAGCGGAGGAACAUGUGGUUUAAUUCGAUGAUACGCGAGGAACCUUACCCGGGCUUAAAUUGCAGAUGAAUUACGGUGAAAGCCGUAAGCCGCAAGGCAUCUGUGAAGGUGCUGCAUGGUUGUCGUCAGCUCGUGCCGUGAGGUGUCGGCUUAAGUGCCAUAACGAGCGCAACCCUUGUUGUCAGUUACUAACAGGUUCUGCUGAGGACUCUGACAAGACUGCCAUCGUAAGAUGUGAGGAAGGUGGGGAUGACGUCAAAUCAGCACGGCCCUUACGUCCGGGGCUACACACGUGUUACAAUGGGGGGUACAGAAGGCAGCUACACGGCGACGUGAUGCUAAUCCCAAAAGCCUCUCUCAGUUCGGAUUGGAGUCUGCAACCCGACUCCAUGAAGCUGGAUUCGCUAGUAAUCGCGCAUCAGCCACGGCGCGGUGAAUACGUUCCCGGGCCUUGUACACACCGCCCGUCAAGCCAUGGGAGCCGGGGGUACCUGAAGUGCGUAACCGCGAGGAGCGCCCUAGGGUAAAACUGGUGACUGGGGCUAAGUCGUAACAAGGUAGCCGUACCGGAAGGUGCGGCUG